rnacentral:rRNA from 1 species
AGGGCGCACGGUGGAUGCCUUGGCACUAGAAGCCGAUGAAGGACGUUACUAACGACGAUAUGCUUUGGGGAGCUGUAAGUAAGCUUUGAUCCAGAGAUUUCCGAAUGGGGAAACCCAGCAUGAGUUAUGUCAUGUUAUCGAUAUGUGAAUACAUAGCAUAUCAGAAGGCACACCCGGAGAACUGAAACAUCUUAGUACCCGGAGGAAGAGAAAGAAAAUUCGAUUCCCUUAGUAGCGGCGAGCGAAACGGGAAGAGCCCAAACCAACAAGCUUGCUUGUUGGGGUUGUAGGACACUCUAUACGGAGUUACAAAGGACGACAUUAGACGAAUCAUCUGGAAAGAUGAAUCAAAGAAGGUAAUAAUCCUGUAGUCGAAAAUGUUGUCUCUCUUGAGUGGAUCCUGAGUACGACGGAGCACGUGAAAUUCCGUCGGAAUCUGGGAGGACCAUCUCCUAAGGCUAAAUACUCUCUAGUGACCGAUAGUGAACCAGUACCGUGAGGGAAAGGUGAAAAGCACCCCGUAAGGGGAGUGAAAUAGAACCUGAAACCGUGUGCUUACAAGUAGUCAGAGCCCGUUAAUGGGUGAUGGCGUGCCUUUUGUAGAAUGAACCGGCGAGUUACGAUUUGAUGCAAGGUUAAGCAGUAAAUGUGGAGCCGUAGCGAAAGCGAGUCUGAAUAGGGCGUUUAGUAUUUGGUCGUAGACCCGAAACCAGGUGAUCUACCCUUGGUCAGGUUGAAGUUCAGGUAACACUGAAUGGAGGACCGAACCGACUUACGUUGAAAAGUGAGCGGAUGAACUGAGGGUAGCGGAGAAAUUCCAAUCGAACCUGGAGAUAGCUGGUUCUCUCCGAAAUAGCUUUAGGGCUAGCCUCAAGUGAUGAUUAUUGGAGGUAGAGCACUGUUUGGACGAGGGGCCCCUCUCGGGUUACCGAAUUCAGACAAACUCCGAAUGCCAAUUAAUUUAACUUGGGAGUCAGAACAUGGGUGAUAAGGUCCGUGUUCGAAAGGGAAACAGCCCAGACCACCAGCUAAGGUCCCAAAAUAUAUGUUAAGUGGAAAAGGAUGUGGCGUUGCCCAGACAACUAGGAUGUUGGCUUAGAAGCAGCCAUCAUUUAAAGAGUGCGUAAUAGCUCACUAGUCGAGUGACACUGCGCCGAAAAUGUACCGGGGCUAAACAUAUUACCGAAGCUGUGGAUUGUCCUUUGGACAAUGGUAGGAGAGCGUUCUAAGGGCGUUGAAGCAUGAUCGUAAGGACAUGUGGAGCGCUUAGAAGUGAGAAUGCCGGUGUGAGUAGCGAAAGACGGGUGAGAAUCCCGUCCACCGAUUGACUAAGGUUUCCAGAGGAAGGCUCGUCCGCUCUGGGUUAGUCGGGUCCUAAGCUGAGGCCGACAGGCGUAGGCGAUGGAUAACAGGUUGAUAUUCCUGUACCACCUAUAAUCGUUUUAAUCGAUGGGGGGACGCAGUAGGAUAGGCGAAGCGUGCGAUUGGAUUGCACGUCUAAGCAGUAAGGCUGAGUAUUAGGCAAAUCCGGUACUCGUUAAGGCUGAGCUGUGAUGGGGAGAAGACAUUGUGUCUUCGAGUCGUUGAUUUCACACUGCCGAGAAAAGCCUCUAGAUAGAAAAUAGGUGCCCGUACCGCAAACCGACACAGGUAGUCAAGAUGAGAAUUCUAAGGUGAGCGAGCGAACUCUCGUUAAGGAACUCGGCAAAAUGACCCCGUAACUUCGGGAGAAGGGGUGCUCUUUAGGGUUAACGCCCAGAAGAGCCGCAGUGAAUAGGCCCAAGCGACUGUUUAUCAAAAACACAGGUCUCUGCUAAACCGUAAGGUGAUGUAUAGGGGCUGACGCCUGCCCGGUGCUGGAAGGUUAAGAGGAGUGGUUAGCUUCUGCGAAGCUACGAAUCGAAGCCCCAGUAAACGGCGGCCGUAACUAUAACGGUCCUAAGGUAGCGAAAUUCCUUGUCGGGUAAGUUCCGACCCGCACGAAAGGCGUAACGAUUUGGGCACUGUCUCAACGAGAGACUCGGUGAAAUCAUAGUACCUGUGAAGAUGCAGGUUACCCGCGACAGGACGGAAAGACCCCGUGGAGCUUUACUGUAGCCUGAUAUUGAAAUUCGGCACAGCUUGUACAGGAUAGGUAGGAGCCUUUGAAACGUGAGCGCUAGCUUACGUGGAGGCGCUGGUGGGAUACUACCCUAGCUGUGUUGGCUUUCUAACCCGCACCACUUAUCGUGGUGGGAGACAGUGUCAGGCGGGCAGUUUGACUGGGGCGGUCGCCUCCUAAAAGGUAACGGAGGCGCUCAAAGGUUCCCUCAGAAUGGUUGGAAAUCAUUCAUAGAGUGUAAAGGCAUAAGGGAGCUUGACUGCGAGACCUACAAGUCGAGCAGGGUCGAAAGACGGACUUAGUGAUCCGGUGGUUCCGCAUGGAAGGGCCAUCGCUCAACGGAUAAAAGCUACCCCGGGGAUAACAGGCUUAUCUCCCCCAAGAGUUCACAUCGACGGGGAGGUUUGGCACCUCGAUGUCGGCUCAUCGCAUCCUGGGGCUGUAGUCGGUCCCAAGGGUUGGGCUGUUCGCCCAUUAAAGCGGUACGCGAGCUGGGUUCAGAACGUCGUGAGACAGUUCGGUCCCUAUCCGUCGUGGGCGUAGGAAAUUUGAGAGGAGCUGUCCUUAGUACGAGAGGACCGGGAUGGACAUACCUCUGGUGUACCAGUUGUCGUGCCAACGGCAUAGCUGGGUAGCUAUGUGUGGACGGGAUAAGUGCUGAAAGCAUCUAAGCAUGAAGCCCCCCUCAAGAUGAGAUUUCCCAACUUCGGUUAU